rnacentral:rRNA from 1 species
AUGGCUGGGGAGAAAGCUGGUAUCGGCGCCUCCUCCUCCUCUCGUCCUCGGAGGAGUUCGAGAAACGCCGCCGACGGGAAGCAGAUUGCUCCCCGAGUCGCCGCCGACGGGAAGAAGACUGCUCUCCGAGUCGCCGGCGACGGGAAGCAGAGUCCUCUCCGAGUCGCCGCCGCCUCCGACGGGAAGCGGAUGGUUAUGGGCGUCUCUGUCGACGCCGCUUCCACCACUUUGCACCCUAUUGAUCUACGAUCCGACGUCGCCCCUGCUGAGGGGCGUACUGAAGUGGCCAAGUUUGUUCACAACUUCUACUGUGCCCUAAACUUUAAUCUGUUAGGAUUGUAUCGUUUCUAUGCCGACGAUGCUGAGUUUGUCUGGAAUUUCAAUGGCCGUCGACUUAAUCUGAAAACUGCAAAGGAAAUUAAGAGUUAUCUGUAUAGGGCAUCAACCAAAAUGAAAUUCCAUGCAUCACAUUUUGAUUUAUUAUCGAUUCCUGGGCAAAGUUCUGUAAUGCUGACCGUUUAUGGAACAAUCAAAUCGGCUGAUAACAAGCCUAGGAGCUUUGUGGAAACUUUUGUGCUUGAUAUUCCUGGACGUCUUAUAUUGAGGGAUUCCUUGGUUGUGCAAGAAAAUGCUCUAGAAGUACCAGAAGUGAGUAGUCCCAAGAAGCUCCAAGACCAUACUGCAAGUAUCAUGUCUACUAAUGAUUCACAGAAUCACUGUGGAAUUUGCAAUAAGAAAUGGUAUCCCCUAGAGAAAGACUGGCUUGAAGAGAUACCUGAAGGAACUGGCAUAUCUUCUAUUGCAAGUGAAAUUCAGCAGGUUUCUUCUGUUGAUACAUCUGACCAGCCAGCUGCUGAAACAUCUGACCAGCCAGCUGCUGAAACAUCCUACCAGCAAGCUGCUGAAACAUCUGAGCUAGCUGCUGUUACAUCUGAUCAGACAUCUGCAAGCCUCUCUUAUGCGAUGUCGGGAAACAAGCAGUCGCAAAAAUCAAAAGUCUGCAUCUUACAUGAUUAUGAUAGGAUGAAGUCCCAUCAGGAUAAGGACACUGAUCAUAAAUAUGAAAAGGCAUCUAGGAUUUCUGAAAUAAUGAAUACAUUGAAUCAAGAUGGUGUUCUUGACAGAACUGAGAGGGAACCGUUUGAUAGUGCUGAUCGUGAGAUAAUUCUGGCUAUCCAUGAUCCUGAGCAGUUGGAUUAUGUUGAUGAUUUGCCAUUGACAGAUGAGGAGCAGGACGCAAAUUUUUCUAAAGUGGCUGGAGUUAGUGUAUUCUCUUCUGAAGGAACUACCGAAGCUAUUUACAGUGCAGCUGGGGCCGUGAUAAGGGGUUCCGACCUUGUGGUUGAAGAGUAUUAUGAGACUGCUUUUGCAAUAAUCAGACCUCCAGGGCAUCAUGCUUAUAAGAUUUCUGAAGAAAUCCCUCUUUGCUUGGUGGGUAUCAGACUUGUCCAGCAGCUAAGUGAGAAAGGGCAAUUCCAAAAAAGGAGGGACUGGUCCAACCUAGGCGAUGGGCCGGCAGGUCUGAUCGCUGAGCGCGUUCUCGCAUUUGACGUCGCAGACUAUCUCCGCUUCCGUGCCGUGUGCCGUCCAUGGCGGCACUGUUCCACAGAACCACACACCCAUGGCGGGCUUGACCGCCGGUUCCAUCCCUGGCGGUGGGUACUGCUCCGCGAACCACUAGCUGCUCCAAACCGCCGUUGCUUCCUCAACUCCUUCACCGGCGAGUUCAUCCAAGUGGACCUCCCGGAGCUCCUUGACCAUGAGCUUCUUGCUGUCACCCCGGAGGGCCUCCUUGUCCUGCUCCACGACCACAACCACGUCCGCCUGCUCAACCCGCUCACGCGUCACGUCACAGAGCUACCACCGCUCACCACGCUGCUUCCUUCUAAAGACCAUGUCAUGCUUUCCUAUUUCAACAUAGACGACUUCUUAGCGACAGGCUCUGGCAUUGCUAGUGAUGAUUCAACAGUGGUGCUCUGCUUCAAUAGGUUCCGCAUUCUUGGCAUGGCAAAGCCCGGUGAUGACCACUGGAUUUUGCUGAAGUACAACCAUGAUGGGUUCACACACACACCCUUAAUGUUUGCAGGGCGCUUCUACUAUGUUAAGGUUAAGGGUGUCAUGGCGCUGCAAAUCUGUCCAAACCAGCCACCACGGCUGGAGGUGGCUGCCAAGCUGAAUAUGCAUGUCUCACCAAUUUCGGAAGGGUUGCACCUCGUCAACAGUUGUGGUGACUUGAUGCUGAUCCACCGUCAGAUUGUUCCAUUCACGUCGCCGGAUAAAUCGCGUUAUCAGUAUGACAUGUAUCGAGUGAAUUUGGAUACCGGAACACUAUUACCAGUCAAGAGCUUGGGUGGUAGCGCAGGGCGAGCAAUGUUCUGGGGCAUGCAUUGCUCUUUCUCGGUGCCUCUAGAGGUUUUUCCCUCUGGCUCCAUUAGCGCUGACACCAUCUACCCGAGCUUUGACUUUACUGAGAGAAGCCUGUUAAAAGUUGGAGCAUAUCAUCUCCUGGAUGGACACAUCGAACGACCAUCUGGCUUGUUGCAGCGGCCGAAUACUCUGGUUGACUGUCUAUCUUUGUCCAAUACGGUCGAUGAUGAGUAG